GUAGGAUGAAUCCAGAAAUACAAUGCAUAGUUCACACUGAACUACUAGCCGUGUUGACAAACAUUCAUCAAUGUCUUUCGCUCCUAUCUGACCUCUUCU
rnacentral:snoRNA from 1 species